rnacentral:rRNA from 1 species
UACGGAGGGUGCAAGCGUUAUCCGGAUUCACUGGGUUUAAAGGGUGCGUAGGUGGGCAGUUAAGUCAGUGGUGAAAUCUCCGGGCUCAACCCGGAAACUGCCAUUGAUACUAUCUGUCUUGAAUAUCGUGGAGGUAAGCGGAAUAUGUCAUGUAGCGGUGAAAUGCUUAGAUAUGACAUAGAACACCAAUUGCGAAGGCAGCUUACUACCCGAAUAUUGACACUGAGGCACGAAAGCGAGGGGAUCAAACAGG